CCUACGGGGUGCAGCAGUAGGGAAUCUUUCACAAUGGGCGAAAGCCUGAUGGAGCAACGCCGCGUGCAGGAUGAAGGCCUUCGGGUUGUAAACUGCUUUUAUAAGCGAGAAAUAUGAUGGUAACUUAUGAAUAAGGAUCGGCUAACUACGUGCCAGCAGCCGCGGUCAUACGUAGGAUCCGAGCAUUAUCCGGGGUGACUGGGUGUAAAGAGUUGCGUAGGUGGCAUAAUAAGUAGCUAGUGAAAUCUGGUGGCUCAACCAUUCAGACUAUUAGCUAAACUGUUAAGCUCGAGACCGUUAGGGGUAACUGGAAUUUCUGGUGUAGGAGUGAAAUCCGUAGAGAUUAGAAGGAACACCAAUAGCGUAGGCAGGUUGCUGGGACGGUUCUGACACUAAGGCACGAAAGCGUAGGGAGCAAACGGGAUUAGAUACCCCUGUAGUC
rnacentral:rRNA from 1 species